rnacentral:rRNA from 1 species
UAUGCACGCUGGCGGCGUGCCUAAUACAUGCAAGUCGAGCGAACAGACGAGGAGCUUGCUCCUCUGACGUUAGCGGCGGACGGGUGAGUAACACGUGGAUAACCUACCUAUAAGACUGGGAUAACUUCGGGAAACCGGAGCUAAUACCGGAUAAUAUAUUGAACCGCAUGGUUCAAUAGUGAAAGACGGUUUUGCUGUCACUUAUAGAUGGAUCCGCGCCGCAUUAGCUAGUUGGUAAGGUAACGGCUUACCAAGGCAACGAUGCGUAGCCGACCUGAGAGGGUGAUCGGCCACACUGGAACUGAGACACGGUCCAGACUCCUACGGGAGGCAGCAGUAGGGAAUCUUCCGCAAUGGGCGAAAGCCUGACGUAGCAACGCCGCGUGAGUGAUGAAGGUCUUCGGAUCGUAAAACUCUGUUAUUAUGGAAGAACAAAUGUGUAAGUAACUAUGCACGUCUUGACGGUACCUAAUCAGAAAGCCUCGGCUAACUACGUG